rnacentral:rRNA from 1 species
AUGAACGCUAGCUACAGGCUUAACACAUGCAAGUCGAGGGGCAGCAUGGUCUUAGCUUGCUAAGACUGAUGGCGACCGGCGCACGGGUGAGUAACACGUAUCCAACCUGCCGUCUACUCUUGGACAGCCUUCUGAAAGGAAGAUUAAUACAAGAUGGCAUCAUGAGUCCGCAUGUUCACAUGAUUAAAGGUAUUCCGGUAGACGAUGGGGAUGCGUUCCAUUAGAUAGUAGGCGGGGUAACGGCCCACCUAGUCUUCGAUGGAUAGGGGUUCUGAGAGGAAGGUCCCCCACAUUGGAACUGAGACACGGUCCAAACUCCUACGGGAGGCAGCAGUGAGGAAUAUUGGUCAAUGGGCGAGAGCCUGAACCAGCCAAGUAGCGUGAAGGAUGACUGCCCUAUGGGUUGUAAACUUCUUUUAUAAAGGAAUAAAGUCGGGUAUGGAUACCCGUUUGCAUGUACUUUAUGAAUAAGGAUCGGCUAACUCCGUGCCAGCAGCCGCGGUAAUACGGAGGAUCCGAGCGUUAUCCGGAUUUAUUGGGUUUAAAGGGAGCGUAGAUGGAUGUUUAAGUCAGUUGUGAAAGUUUGCGGCUCAACCGUAAAAUUGCAGUUGAUACUGGAUAUCUUGAGUGCAGUUGAGGCAGGCGGAAUUCGUGGUGUAGCGGUGAAAUGCUUAGAUAUCACGAAGAACUCCGAUUGCGAAGGCAGCCUGCUAAGCUGCAACUGACAUUGAGGCUCGAAAGUGUGGGUAUCAAACAGGAUUAGAUACCCUGGUAGUCCACACGGUAAACGAUGAAUACUCGCUGUUUGCGAUAUACUGCAAGCGGCCAAGCGAAAGCGUUAAGUAUUCCACCUGGGGAGUACGCCGGCAACGGUGAAACUCAAAGGAAUUGACGGGGGCCCGCACAAGCGGAGGAACAUGUGGUUUAAUUCGAUGAUACGCGAGGAACCUUACCCGGGCUUAAAUUGCAACAGAAUAUAUUGGAAACAGUAUAGCCGUAAGGCUGUUGUGAAGGUGCUGCAUGGUUGUCGUCAGCUCGUGCCGUGAGGUGUCGGCUUAAGUGCCAUAACGAGCGCAACCCUUGUUGUCAGUUACUAACAGGUUCCGCUGAGGACUCUGACAAGACUGCCAUCGUAAGAUGUGAGGAAGGUGGGGAUGACGUCAAAUCAGCACGGCCCUUACGUCCGGGGCUACACACGUGUUACAAUGGGGGGUACAGAGGGCCGCUACCACGCGAGUGGAUGCCAAUCCCCAAAACCUCUCUCAGUUCGGACUGGAGUCUGCAACCCGACUCCACGAAGCUGGAUUCGCUAGUAAUCGCGCAUCAGCCACGGCGCGGUGAAUACGUUCCCGGGCCUUGUACACACCGCCCGUCAAGCCAUGGGAGCCGGGGGUACCUGAAGUGCGUAACCGCGAGGAGCGCCCUAGGGUAAAACUGGUGACUGGGGCU